CCGCGUCUACGACUAUGCGAAUGAUUUUUGUGGUGAACCUGGCCGUUUUCGCCGCGGUGGCAUUCUGCAUACCAAGUUGUGAGAGACCGAAAUGCCACUACCCUAAUGAUUGUUGGCAGCAGGCUGAGAGAGGACCAUGCCGAGCUGCGAUUGAAAUGUUCGUCUUCAACACGACCACAAGGCGGUGCGACCGUUUUAUAUGGGGAGGUUGCUGCGAGAACUGCAAUCUCUUCAAGACGAGAUAUCGAUGUAAAAAGAGCUGCUUGUGGUCCCGGCCAAGGGUGUCAACCUCGAAUUUGCUUCCAGGAAACCACAUUAACAGAUUACUACCAUAAUGUGAAGGAGGGGCCACACAAUCUGGGCUUUCAUUAGGCCGAAUUUUUAACACUCAGACAAUGUAUUCGGCAUUUCCUCAUAGCAAUCGGCAAGCAGGAACAUAAAUAGUAAACACGGCACGUAUCUUAAAAGGUCAAUUUUAUUCUUUAUUGGCUUUUGUUAGUUUCACAAUUCUUCGUUUAUUCACCGUAGAAUAUUUUAACAUAGCGUGUCUUCAAAUUUUUGCACAACCAAUAAAAGGUCUGC
rnacentral:lncRNA from 1 species